AAAAAAUUGAAAAUUGUGAAUCACGUUAAAUGAAAACUGCGGCUUGAGCCAGUCUGCCAUCACAAUUUUCCAAUUACAAGCCAACGUCAGCAUAUUUGGAGUGUCUGGAAAAACCAUUAGCCAGCGAAAUUAACCAGAAAGUUUUAAUUAAAGUGCCAAAAUGGAACUUACAAAAAAAACCCCACAUAAUUCUUUGAUUUUAACACUGAAAAUUGUGCUUGAAAAUGCAUAUGGUGGAGCGACAAGACAGAACAAAGAAAACCAUAGAAAAUGGUGCUCCAAGGGGCAAAGCAGCGACUGUGCAGCAGCAAAAACUUGGAUACGUGCGUGCUGAGUAUGUAGCAUGAAGCAAGCGCACUGCCUGCAGUCGCAGCGCAGCCAGCGCCAACUUUUCUCUACAUGCAACUGCAUUUUGUACGUAUACAAAGAAAACGGGUCUUUGUUCUGCACGACGAGGCGCAAAUCGAUGGCCAGCAACAACUACAUACAGAUCAUGGAGAAGGAUAAGACAUUAGUCAUUCAAGCCUGCUUUGCCAUAUGAGAGCUAUGGAAUGGAAUAUUAUAAGAGAUGUACAAAUCGAAGCUUAAAUGGCUGAUAAACUAUUGACUGUUGACGACUCGUGAGCUGGGGCUGGCAGGACUUGGUAUUUAUGACUACUAUUCUACUUGCAACAAAGCAUCCAUCGCUAUCGAUCCACCAAAACCACAAACAGCCACUAAAUAUAUACUAAGUAUAUCCCAGGCAGCGUAAAAGCGUAUCAUGCUAAAUAUCACAUUAUCUAUCUACAAUAUCUGUAUAUUUGUAUCCAUAUAGAGCGUAAGUGUAUUUGCAGAUCCAUCAUCACAAAACCAAACCAAACCAAACUACAACAAAUCAACGCAACGCUAAUCAAUACUUUCUCUAUAUGCCAUAUAUAUAUAUAUAUAUAUAUUUACACAUAUUCUUUAUUAUCCGACCAACUACAUAUGAUCUUCAACUU